GAUUAAGCUACAAAGAGCAUAUGGUGGAUGCCUUGGCACUAGGCGCCGAUGAAGGACGUGAUAAGCUGCGAAAAGCUACGGUGAGCCGCACGUAGGCCGCGACCCGUAGAUAUCCGAAUGCGGAAACGCACUGGCUGUUAUGAGCCAGUAUCAUAACACGAAUAAAAUAGUGUUAUGAGGGGAACCCAGGGAACUGAAACAUCUAAGUACCUGGAGGAAAAGAAAGUAAAUAAACGAUUGUGAGAGUAGUGGCGAGCGAAAUUGCAAGAGCCCAAACCCGAGCCAGAAAUGGCACGGGGGUUAGGACCCCAUUAAAGCUAAGAAUGAUGGUAGGAGAAGUUGGUUGGAAAGCCAAGCGAAACAGGGUAACAGCCCCGUAUCUUAAACCAGAGUGAAAGCGAGGGUGAUCCAGAGUAGCACAGGACACGUGAAAUCCGGUGUGAAUGAGCGAGGACCAUCUCGUAAGGCUAAAUACGACCUAGUGACCGAUAGCGUACAGUACCG
rnacentral:rRNA from 1 species